AUGCGUCUUCUUGCUCCAGCAUUCAAGUUCCAUUUCAAGGGAGGACGACGUACCAUGAUACUUUCUGUUUUGUCGAGCCCUGCUUUGGUCUCUGGUUUGAUGGUUGUACGUGCUAAAAAUCCGGUACAUUCCGUUUUGUUUCCCAUCCUAGUCUUUUGCGACACUUCUGGUUUACUUAUUUUGUUAGGUCUCGACUUCUCCGCUAUGAUCUCCCCAGUAGUUCAUAUAGGAGCUAUUGCCGUUUCAUUCCUAUUCGUGGUUAUGAUGUUCAAUAUUCAAAUAGCGGAGAUUCACGAAGAAGUAUUGCGCUAUUUACCAGUGAGUGGUAUUAUUGGACUGAUCUUUUGGUGGGAAAUGUUCUUCAUUUAG
rnacentral:rRNA from 1 species